rnacentral:rRNA from 1 species
UAAUACGUAGGUGUCGAGCGUUGUCCGGAUUUAUUGGGCGUAAAGCGCCCGCAGGCGGCCAGGCAAGUCCAGGGUGAAAUCUCCCGGCUCAACCGGGAGGGUGCCCUGGAAACUGCCUGGCUUGAGGCAGGGAGAGGGAUGUGGAAUUCCCGGUGUAGUGGUGAAAUGCGUAGAUAUCGGGAGGAACACCAGUGGCGAAGGCGGCAUCCUGGCCCUGUCCUGACGCUCAGGGGCGAAAGCGUGGGGAGCAAACCGGAUUAGAUACCCGGGUAGUCCACGCCGUAAACGAUGAGUACUAGGUGUUGGAGGUAUCGACCCCUUCAGUGCCGAAGCCAACGCGAUAAGUACUCCGCCUGGGGACUACGGCCGCAAGGCUA